AGUGGAUGGGGAGCAACCUAGUUGUGCGUGUGUAAAGGUAGUGCCAAGAAAAGCGGUGAUCAUGAUGAAAAUCAAUUCCCGGUACCCGAAACCGACACAGGUGGGCAAGUAGAGAAUACUAAGGGGCGCGAGGUAACUCUCUCCAAGGAACUCGGCAAAAUGACCCCGUAACUUAGGGAGAAGGGGUGCCACCGAGAGGUGGUCGCAGUGAAGAGGCCCAGGCGACUGUUUAGCAAAAACAUAGGUCUCUGCAAACUCGAAAGAGGAGGUAUAGGGGCUGACGCCUGCCCAGUGCCGGAAGGUUAAAGAAGUUGGUCAGUCUUAGGAUGAAGCUAGCGACUGAAGCCCCGGUGAACGGCGGCCGUAACUAUAACGGUCCUAAGGUAGCGAAAUUCCUUGUCGGGUAAGUUCCGACCCGCACGAAAGGCGUAACGAUCUGGGCGCUGUCUCGGAGAGAGGCUCGGCGAAAUAGGAUUGUCUGUGAAGAUACGGACUACCUGCAUUUGGACAGAAAGACCCUAUGAAGCUUUACUACAGCUUGGAAUUGUGUUCGGGCUUCCUGUGCGCAGGAUAGGUGGGAGGCGUAGAAGGUAUUCUUGUGGGGAUACUGGAGCCAACGGUGAGAUACCACUCUCAGGAGGCUAGAAUUCUAACUUAAUUAAGGACAGUUUCAGGUGGGUAGUUUGACUGGGGCGGUCGCCUCCAAAAAGGUAACGGAGGCGUACAAAGGUUCCCUCAGACUGGUUGGAAAUCAGUCGAAGAGUGCAAAGGCAGAAGGGAGCUUGACUGCGAGAAGUACAGUUCGAGCAGGGUGGAAACACGGUCUUAGUGAUCCGACGGUGCUGUGUGGAAGGGCCGUCGCUCAACGGAUAAAAGUUACUCUAGGAUAACAGGCUGAUCUCCCCCAAGAGUUCACAUCGACGGGGAGGUUUGGCACCUCGAUGUCGGCUCAUCGCAACCUGGGGCGGAAGUACGUCCCAAGGGUUGGGCUGUUCGCCCAUUAAAGCGGUACGUGAGCUGGGUUCAGAACGUCGUGAGACAGUUCGGUCCAUAUCCGAUGUAGGCGUGAGAAUAUUGAGAGGAGCCUUCCUUAGUACGAGAGGACCGGGAAGGACGCACCGCUGGUGUACCUGUUAUGAUGCCAAUUGUAAACGCAGGGUAGCCAAGUGCGGGGAGGAUAACCGCUGAAAGCAUCUAAGUGGGAAGCCCACCUCAAGAUGAGUAUUCUGGUGUAAGGUCACGGGAAGACGACCCGUAAAUAGGCACGAGGUGGAAGUGCAGAGAUGUAUGAGGCCGAAGUGUACUAAUAGACCGUCGGCUUGACC
rnacentral:rRNA from 1 species